CAUAUGUGCAAAGGUGUUUGUAUGUUUUUGAGUGGUAAAUUCCCACAUCCUGGGAAUUUAAGCGGGGAGUGUUCCGUCCCCCAGGACGAUGGUUUGCCUUACUUAUUGGUCGUUUGAUUGUUUUCCCUCCUUUGCAUUUUGUUUCAGCCUCUGGCUGCAAAAGCCCAGGAAAGGUGGCUUGAAGUCUGCAAGAGCUGGCUGCAGUUUUCUUUGCAAUGAUUGGUCAAAGAGUACAACAUCUUAGGACCGCCCUUUUUACCAGGGUCUAGUCUCCAUUUUAGAGUUUCAUUCUGGCUAUAGUCUUCCAACGUGCUGGAGCUGUGCAAGGCUAACUGGGACAAAUCAUCCUCAAAACCAGGCCAAUCUAAGCCUAUCCAAAUUAGAUAAGUAUUGAGUUAUACUGAUCUGGAAUAGGAAAUCUAGUUAGAGGAGCAGGGUUAUUCCAUCGCUUCUAGAACUAAUCUUUGCUGUAAAGAUAGGGAAGGAAAGAGUUUCUCCUUCUAAUAUAGACAGCGUGAUUAGGGUAUAGUGGUUUUAUAAUCACCUUUGCCUUCUGGAACCAGGGAUAAUUCUGCAACUAAAACCUAUGGAAAUUUGUUUCAUUUUCUGCAACUUUAAGAUCUGUGCCAGGUUUACAACCUUGUAUGAAUAAACAUCCUUUUUUGAAGUUCUCCAGACUCAGUCGUUCAAUAUUUUAGGACAGCUUAUAGGGAUUUGCAGUUCGCCCGGAUAAAGGACGGCACGUUUCAGCUUUAUAGUUUUUUUUUAUUGUCUGGCGGACGGCACAAUCAUCAACAAAAUCCCUACUAAUCCAAAAAUCCAGGCACUUCAGCCCUGCAAGCCUAACUCUGUACAAACUGCCAAUAUCCAAAUGACCAAAUGAUUUUCUUUUGGAUGGAGGAACUACUAAAUUCAUCUUCAGUUUCUCCUACUUUUAUUUCUUUUAAUGGGAUACAAAAAGGGUGAAACAGAAUUGACUCCUUGUUCAAAGCUUUCUCCAUUGUCAUAUUUUUCUAGGAGUUGGCAGUGUUGUUCCUACCAUGAUUUCCAACAUAAAGAAGAAAACCUUCAAACUCUCAGGAGUCCUGUGCCCCUAACCCCAUAUUUGAUGUCCACUACUUCUGAAGAUCUUCAAAAGUGGGCUUAGACCAUUUGUGGUUGAUUUCUGAUUGAUUUUUGAGGAAUGGGACUUGCGGUCCAGUGUUAUUUGUCAGGCUACAUGAUUCCUUCCCCUGUUUUAAAGGUAGGACUAUGCAUGGGUGUGGUUAUGAUACAACUUUAUCUGUUAAAUGUGUGGUAUCCAAAUGCAUAUGUUGCAAUUGCAGUAUGUCACAUUCAAUUUGCAUGGGAGAAAAGCAUUUCUUUAUUUUAAAAAUCUGACAAAUUAUCAUUGGCAUUUGAUGAUUGCAACAGCUUCUGCAUUCUUUUUAAAGGAGCUUUCUGCACCAUCAUGACAUUUCAGCCUAGCCAAGUCCUUUCAGGUGCAGUGUUAUAUGCUUGUCCCAACCUGCUGGAUGCAACAAGUCCGUAUUAUACAAGCUUUGUGCUUAUUUAUACUCUCACUGUAUAAACUGAAGACUUAUUGGAGUUUAUACAGAUAGAUUUCAUUCUUUAAAACUGCAAGAAACAUGAAAGAACUUGCAGUUCACUGUGCUUACAACCUAGAUUAUUCCUGCCUCUUUCCCCUUCUCUGCUAUGAACUGGGAGAGUGUCACUGUCCAAUCAGUUAUUCUUAUGCUCCUGCAUUUGACAACAAACCCUUUCCUUCAUCUAUAGGCAAUGGAGAUUUGCAUUACAGAUGGAGUGGGCAAAAAGACACCACAUGACCAGUGAAUGUAUGACCUCCAGCUGUUGUUAGGCUGCAUCCCUUAAUGUUGGCAGUGCUGCCUAGGACUGAUGGAAGGUGCAAUUCAAUAACAUUUGGAGAGUGCAGCAUCCCUCCUCCUUAAAGGAUUAGUUUACAUCCAGUCUACUAUUGCCAGAGCUUGAAAGUUAUAAAUGUUAUAAUCCCAAGGCCUUCAAAUGAGCUAUCUAUCACUGUACCAAUGUUUUUAAUAUUUUCACAUUUUCCACCAUAGUUAAAAUACAUAGUCAGCCCUUCAUAUCCACAGAUUCCAUCAUCCACAGCUUGAAAGUAUUCCUUUCCACCCCCCCCCCCCCCAAAAAAAAGCUUGAUUUUGACAUUAUACCCAAGGGACACUGUUUCACUACAUCAUAGUAUGCAAUGGGUCUUGGGCACCCAUGGAUUACCAUAUGCUAUUCAUGUGAUGUUCUAGAACCAAACUCUAGCGUAGACCAAGGAUCCACAGUACAUAAUUAAAUAAGUGCCAUAUGCAAAGUACUAUUUUUUAAUUCUAUUAGUGGGGUUAUAACUCAUCUUCCCUAUGAAGAGAUGAAUAAACCAAGGAUUGUAAACCACUUUACACAUUAAAACAGUAAUGAAAUAAUGUUUCUCCUCUAGUUCACAAAAGCCUUCCUUUUCUGGGCACUUGGAAGGAGUUUCUACUAAAAACAGCCGAAUGAAAAGGAAGUCACAAACUCGACAUAAGACUAGACUAAUUUGUGGAAAUCAUCUGUAGGAAAUUUGUGAAAUCUGCU
rnacentral:lncRNA from 1 species